rnacentral:rRNA from 1 species
UACAGAGGAUGCAAGCGUUAUCCGGAAUGAUUGGGCGUAAAGCGUCUGUAGGUGGCUUUUUAAGUCCGCCGUCAAAUCCCAGGGCUCAACUCUGGACAGGCGGUGGAAACUACCAAGCUGGAGUACGGUAGGGGCAGAGGGAAUUUCCGGUGGAGCGGUGAAAUGCGUAGAGAUGUGGAGGAAUACCGAUGGCGAAGGCAGCCCCCUGGGUCGAUACUGACGCUCAUGCACGAAAGCGUGGGGAGCAAACAGG